rnacentral:rRNA from 1 species
AUUGAACGCUGGCGGCAGGCCUAACACAUGCAAGUCGAACGGUAGCACAGAGGAGCUUGCUCCUUGGGUGACGAGUGGCGGACGGGUGAGUAAUGUCUGGGAAACUGCCCGAUGGAGGGGGAUAACUACUGGAAACGGUAGCUAAUACCGCAUAACGUCGCAAGACCAAAGAGGGGGACCUUCGGGCCUCUUGCCAUCGGAUGUGCCCAGAUGGGAUUAGCUAGUAGGUGGGGUAACGGCUCACCUAGGCGACGAUCCCUAGCUGGUCUGAGAGGAUGACCAGCCACACUGGAACUGAGACACGGUCCAGACUCCUACGGGAGGCAGCAGUGGGGAAUAUUGCACAAUGGGCGCAAGCCUGAUGCAGCCAUGCCGCGUGUAUGAAGAAGGCCUUCGGGUUGUAAAGUACUUUCAGCGAGGAGGAAGGCAUUAAGGUUAAUAACCU